rnacentral:rRNA from 1 species
UACGUAGGUGGCAAGCGUUGUCCGGAAUUAUUGGGCGUAAAGCGCGCGCAGGCGGUCCUUUAAGUCUGAUGUGAAAGCCCACGGCUCAACCGUGGAGGGUCAUUGGAAACUGGAGGACUUGAGUACAGAAGAGAAGAGUGGAAUUCCACGUGUAGCGGUGAAAUGCGUAGAGAUGUGGAGGAACACCAGUGGCGAAGGCGACUCUUUGGUCUGUAACUGACGCUGAGGCGCGAAGCGUGGGGAGCGAACAGG